rnacentral:rRNA from 1 species
UACGUAGGGUGCAAGCGUUGUCCGGAAUUAUUGGGCGUAAAGGGCGCGUAGGCGGCUUUUUAAGGGUGCGGUGAAAGCCCGGGGCUUAACCCCGGGUCGGCCGUGCCGACUGAAAAGCUGGAGCACUGUAGAGGCAGGUGGAAUUCCGGGUGUAGCGGUGGAAUGCGUAGAGAUCCGGAAGAACACCAGUGGCGAAGGCGGCCUGCUGGGCAGUUGCUGACGCUGAGGCGCGAAAGCUAGGGGAGCAAACGGG